GGGGGUGUUUUGGCUUCGACGGGGGCAUGAAAGAUUUAUUAAGCGAGUCGAGGGAAGCAUGUGUCCUCGUUAAUAAAGUAUGCACUAAAUGUAAACGCAGAAGACAAUUUUGCAUUAGCAGCUUAAUAUAAGCUACUCAUCAGCCCGGGUUGCCUACGGCUCGGAUCACUGGUGUCAUUGAAGUGGGACACGAAGCCUGGCAAAGCUUUGAGCCAGAGGGGUAUUAAUGAAG
rnacentral:tmRNA from 1 species